UCCGUUUUGUCAACGGCAGUCUCUCUAGAGUGCCCAACUUAAUGCUGGCAACUAAAGAUAAGGGUUGCGCUCGUUGCGGGACUUAACCCAACAUCUCACGACACGAGCUGGCGACGGCCAUGCAACACCUGUCACUUGGCUCCAAAAGGCACACUUUGCUUUCGCAAUGCUUCCAAGGAUGUCAAACCCUGGUAAGGUUCUUCGUUUAUCAUCGAAUUAAAGAACACGAUCCACCGCUUGUGCUGAUCCCCGUCAAUUCCUUUAUGUUUUAGUCUUGCGACCGUACUCCACAGGCGGGAUGCUUAACGCGUUAGCUUCGCUACUGAAGGGGUCGAUACCUCCAACAGCUAGCAUCCAUAGUUUACGGCGUGGACUAC
rnacentral:misc_RNA from 1 species